ACUGAAAACAAGUGGCUGCCUUCAGCCAGGCAAAGCGGAGACUGAAUGGGUCUUUUCUGCUCCGGCCUGCUCCCAGUUCCACCGCCUCUCCAGGGACCUUCUAAAGUUUGAUUAACUAGAGUGCUAAUUGGCGGAGGCUGCAGACAGAGCCCGAGUAUGGCAAGGAAUCAGUGUUCUGAGUGGGCUGCGGGACUCAGACAGCCUGCGGACAACUCCUGGGAGGAAGGGCCCUCUUAUGAUCUGCCAGGCGAGAGGAACAUGGAUUGACAGAACUUCUGCAGGCGCAUGCGGUCGGGAAAAAUCUUAUGGGAGUAAGGAUUGCAAGGACCAAGCUUCAGUGAGGCGGUGCAUGAAGCAGAAGGAAUCGCUUUAUGUGUGGAAGUCUACGGGCAGAACAGAAUGGGACCAGAGAGGAUCGUUUGAAUUGGCCCAUCCAGAGCCGGGAUUGCGUUUCAGCGAUGGAGAAUAAUGCUUAAAUCUCAAGCCUGACCUUGGAGAUAAUGUCACAGCUGAAGUGAGACUUUGAAACCUGCUUGCUCAUAACCUUUUGUCAAUAAGUUGGAGAUGAAAGACUCUCCUUCCCUGUGAUAUCCUCAACUGUCAAAAUCACCUGGCUUAUCAAUGGACCAGCAUGGCUUUCCCCCUAAGGAUUUACUGCGCGCUGCGGACUGGAGCUGCAGGCGGAGCUCACUU
rnacentral:lncRNA from 1 species